GGGACUGGGUAAUUUAUAAAGAAAAGAAGUUGAAUUGGCUCACACUUCGGCAGGCUGUAGGAGCAUGGCAGUUCUUUUACAUUUGCUGAGGAGUGCCUUACUUCCAAUUAUGUGGUCAGUUUUAGAAUAAGUGCAAUGUGGUGCUGAUAAGAUUGUAUAUUCUGUUGAUUUGGGGUGGAGAGUUCUGUAGAUGUCCUGUAUUGGGUGCAUAUAUGUUUAGGAUAGUUAGCUCUUCUUGUUGCAUUGAUGGCUUUACCGUUAUGUAAUGGCCUU
rnacentral:lncRNA from 1 species